AUGGACCAAUCCAUCCCUUUUUCUCGUGCAUAUGCAUCGGACUCCGAUGACGAUGGUCCCGAUGAAGAAGUUGAUGAGGAGGGGUUCAUGCCCAAUGAGGCCGAAGCAUUUAAGAAGGUAUUCGGGUGGGAUCAUAAGACACCAUUGUUCAAGGAUCUUAGUCUCGUAGAUGAAGCCGUUGUAGAUGGUGGCAAAUGUAUAUCUCUUGGAGCUAGGCCAAAUUCUCACCGUGAUUUGGAAGACGGCAAGAACGGGAUAUAUCCCGGUUGUGAGUUUCAAUCCUUCUUGGAAUUGAAGAUGUGGCUCGACAACUACUCGGUUACGCAUUAUCGUCCACAUAAAAGCGGCCAAAUCGGACGUCAAAGUGCGUUACACGCUUAA
rnacentral:rRNA from 1 species